UACGUAGGGUGCGAGCGUUGUCCGGAAUUAUUGGGCGUAAAGAGCUCGUAGGCGGUUUGUCGCGUCUGCUGUGAAAACGCGAGGCUCAACCUCGCGCCUGCAGUGGGUACGGGCAGACUGGAGUGCGGGUAGGGGAGAUUGGAAUUCCUGGUGUAGCGGUGGAAUGCGCAGAUAUCAGGAGGAACACCGAUGGCGAAGGCAGGUCUCUGGGCAUUAACUGACGCUGGAGGAGCGAAAAGCAUGGGGAGCGAACAGG
rnacentral:rRNA from 1 species